rnacentral:rRNA from 1 species
GACGUAGGGCGCGAGCGUUGUCCGGAUUUAUUGGGCGUAAAGAGCUCGUAGGCGGUUUGUCGCGUCGUCUGUGAAAACCCACGGCUCAACUGUGGGCUUGCAGUCGAUACGGGCAGGCUAGAGUUCGGUAGGGGAGACUGGAAUUCCUGGUGUAGCGGUGAAAUGCGCAGAUAUCAGGAGGAACACCGGUGGCGAAGGCGGGUCUCUGGGCCGAUACUGACGCUGAGGAGCGAAAGCGUGGGGAGCGAACAGG